rnacentral:lncRNA from 1 species
AAAGUGGGCCAUGGAACCAAUGUAGUGGGUCCAACCAGCAUUAAAAAAGAAAGAAAGAAAGAAAGAAAGAAAGAAUAGAAAAUAUCAGAGUACAUAACAAGUAGUAAAGGAAGUCACCAUCUUCGGUGGGGACCUUUCUCAGACAAUCUAUUCUUCCACAAUUCUCCUUGAGCAACCAAGAUAUUAACGGGGAAGACUUGAAGUUUCUAUGCUGCUUGAUCCAGAAUUUUCUCACCAUGGAUGUGGGGUUCUCACCUUUGAAGAACACAGCAAGAAGGUGGCCACCCAUAAGCCAGGAGGAAAGCCCUCAUCAAGCAAAUUGACUGGUGCCUUGAUCUGGGACUACUAGCCUCUAGAACUGAAGAAAGUAAAU